AGAGUUUGAUCAUGGCUCAGAUUGAACGCUGGCGGCAGGCCUAACACAUGCAAGUCGAACGGUAACAGAAAGCAGCUUGCUGCUUUGCUGACGAGUGGCGGACGGGUGAGUAAUGUCUGGGAAACUGCCCGAUGGAGGGGGAUAACUACUGGAAACGGUAGCUAAUACCGCAUAACGUCGCAAGACCAAAGAGGGGGACCUUAGGGCCUCUUGCCAUCGGAUGUGCCCAGAUGGGAUUAGCUAGUAGGUGGGGUAACGGCUCACCUAGGCGACGAUCCCUAGCUGGUCUGAGAGGAUGACCAGCCACACUGGAACUGAGACACGGUCCAGACUCCUACGGGAGGCAGCAGUGGGGAAUAUUGCACAAUGGGCGCAAGCCUGAUGCAGCCAUGCCGCGUGUAUGAAGAAGGCCUUCGGGUUGUAAAGUACUUUCAGCGGGGAGGAAGGGAGUAAAGUUAAUACCUUUGCUCAUUGACGUUACCCGCAGAAGAAGCACCGGCUAACUCCGUGCCAGCAGCCGCGGUAAUACGGAGGGUGCAAGCGUUAAUCGGAAUUACUGGGCGUAAAGCGCACGCAGGCGGUUUGUUAAGUCAGAUGUGAAAUCCCCGGGCUCAACCUGGGAACUGCAUCUGAUACUGGCAAGUCUUGAGUCUCGUAGAGGGGGUAGAAUUCCAGGUGUAGCGGUGAAAUGCGUAGAGAUCUGGAGGAAUACCGGUGGCGAAGGCGGCCCCCUGGACGAAGACUGACGCUCAGGUGCGAAAGCGUGGGGAGCAAACAGGAUUAGAUACCCUGGUAGUCCACGCCGUAAACGAUGUCGACUUGGAGGUUGUGCCCUUGAGGCGUGGCUUCCGGAGCUAACGCGUUAAGUCGACCGCCUGGGGAGUACGGCCGCAAGGUUAAAACUCAAAUGAAUUGACGGGGGCCCGCACAAGCGGUGGAGCAUGUGGUUUAAUUCGAUGCAACGCGAAGAACCUUACCUGGUCUUGACAUCCACGGAAGUUUUCAGAGAUGAGAAUGUGCCUUCGGGAACCGUGAGACAGGUGCUGCAUGGCUGUCGUCAGCUCGUGUUGUGAAAUGUUGGGUUAAGUCCCGCAACGAGCGCAACCCUUAUCCUUUGUUGCCAGCGGUCCGGCCGGGAACUCAAAGGAGACUGCCAGUGAUAAACUGGAGGAAGGUGGGGAUGACGUCAAGUCAUCAUGGCCCUUACGACCAGGGCUACACACGUGCUACAAUGGCGCAUACAAAGAGAAGCGACCUCGCGAGAGCAAGCGGACCUCAUAAAGUGCGUCGUAGUCCGGAUUGGAGUCUGCAACUCGACUCCAUGAAGUCGGAAUCGCUAGUAAUCGUGGAUCAGAAUGCCACGGUGAAUACGUUCCCGGGCCUUGUACACACCGCCCGUCACACCAUGGGAGUGGGUUGCAAAAGAAGUAGGUAGCUUAACCAUCGGGAGGGCGCUUACCACUUUGUGAUUCAUGACUGGGGUGAAGUCGUAACAAGGUAACCGUAGGGGAACCUGCGGUUGGAUCACCU
rnacentral:rRNA from 1 species